rnacentral:lncRNA from 1 species
AAUGAAAAAUAGUAGCAGCUGUUUCAGUAAAAAAUUCUAAGGGUUAACAUAACAUGAUGUAAACUAUUUCAUGUGUUCUUCCUACUUGCCCAUUUUAAUCAGAAAUGAGUAAGAAGAGCCUUAUAUGCAGUGAACUUGAGGAAUGCUAAUGGGAUGUCUGCAUCGCGUUGUACUCGGAGUACUUAUGCCAGAAUAGGAAAGCCUUUUAUUCUGUAAUUCUCUGAGGCAAGAAGGAGGCUUUCUGAAGAGUUACUUUAAAUUUAAACUCUCAUUCUAAUGUUAGACAGCCUGUUGGAUCUCUGAGUUAAAAAUUGCUUCGGCUUUAGUUACUAGAGCCAGAUGUAACAUUGACCUUAAAUGGUAAAAGCUCCCAAGAGUGAAAGAGAGGCUGGCCUGAGGGGAAAAAGAGGAAUAACUGAAGUUUUAGAGCAUUUGAGGUCAACUGCCAAGCUAUCAGUGGAGAUGGAGUAA